rnacentral:tRNA from 1 species
GUGGGGCUGGGGCUCAGUGGCAGAGCACUUGUCUCGCAUGUGUGAGGCCCUGGGUUCAAUCCUCAGCACCACA